rnacentral:lncRNA from 1 species
AUGUCUGAAAUAAAACUUUGGAAUUCUGAACCUUUACUCUAUUUCAGCAGCAGGUCUGGAAGUUCAGACACACAACAAGGAAACAAACUACUGGAAGGAAAUACAGUCUCGUCACUAAAAUCUUUAUCAUCAGCAGGAUGGAUUAGCACCAGCUGCUGUGAGGUUUCAGUUACAAGAACCAGGCUUCCCUGAGAUGCUAUGAGCUCCACUGUCCAGAGAGGAGACAUUUUGUGUCUUUUGAGUUUGGGGCAUGGCUCUAGGAAGAGAUUAUUCAUUUGUUCAUCUGCAUGACCUACAAUGGAGGCAACGAGAACAUACUGAUAUCCUCAUGCAUUAAUAUUUGUUACUUUAUUUUUGAAUAAAAACAAAAGGUACUGGACCACACUAUUCCCUCUACACAAGGAAAUCAUAAUUUGAGCUACAUGAAUGGCAUCAAGAAAAAUGCUUAAACACCCUGAAAGUAUAUGCAAAACAUAAGCAUGUGUACUUACUGUGUGUGUGUGUGUGUGUGUGUGUGUGCGCAUGUACAUAGGCAUUUUUUUUCCUAGUAGGAGAAUUGACAGAUAUCAAUCAGCAGGGAGUCAAAGAGAUUUUUGAUGCCCAAAGUUUGAAGAAAUCCACCCAUAAAGUCAAAAUGGUAGAGAGCUAUUGUAAGUCAUGGAACAAACUCUGUAACAUAACCUGAGCCCAAAGGCAGAUCUUCUCUAAUCCAGUCCCUGCUUUACUGUUAACUUGAAUUGAAAUGAUGGAAGAUACAAACUGUUUCCUAGGUCCCUUUUCUCUUCUGAUACUAUUUGGACACAGUCUGUAAGUGCUUAUAAAGCUGUAUUAUUUGAGAUAGUUCUGGAACUUUUGAAAACAGUUUAGGACUGCCUGUUACCUCCUUCUUACAUCUCUCAGAAUCUUGGUCAAAUAGAAAAGAACAAAGCCCCAAAGCACAGAGAAGUAUGUUAUGAGGGAGCAUGAAAAUGUUAAAUUAACCACCAAACUUUUGACAUUCCUUUGUUUUUUUUUUCCAUAUAACUAAAUCCUGGGAUUAUGUAUAGGAGAGAAAUUCAAAACUGAGAAUCUGGUGAGGGUAUGCAUCCUGCGUGUCUGGCUACAACACAUUUCUACACUGCUGAGACCAGUACCUGGCAAAUAGUGAGACCUCAAUAGAUAGUUUUUUAAUUUAAAUGAAUGUAAUUGCUUGGAAAUGAAUGGAAAUGAAUUAGCCUGUUAAGAGUUUCAGGUAAGCUGUUAUUUAAAGUUAGAUAUGAAGCUAUCUUAAGUCACAUGGCCAUUUCUCUUCAACAUUCAUAUGCCAAUAAUCUUUUUAUAAAUUAAAAGGAGUCAACAAUUCCUUCCAAAUACCUAUUUAUUUUAUUUAGCAAUGCCUGAGAAAUGGAAAAGGAGUUUAAUCUUUCACAGGGUAAAUGGUUGAGCUUAACAAAUUUGUCUUUUCUUUUUUUUCUUCCUAGAAUAAUAGCAUCUUGGAACCUUGCUAACGUGACUUGAUAUUGAAUUCAGGUCCAUCUUGGGCUUAAUCCAGGGGAAUUCAGGGACUGCAGUUCCAGAAUGGCCACCUAAUAAAACUUUCAAUAUAUAAUUCAACAGAGAUCACUUACAUAGAGGGUUUCUACGCUUUUACAUUUCAUAAACCUGUAGGAAUUUCCAUCAAAAAAAUAAUGGGAGUUAGUUCUUAUAGGACUGGCAAGCUCUCAAUUUUUUUUUCCAAGAAAAAAUAUCAAAACGCAUUUCUCACCUACUAUCACCGUCAUCUGUUAAAAAAACACUCUCUUAACACCAAAAUAUAGAGAAUGAUCAUAAUCUCAGAAAACGGGACAGCUCACUAAAUGCAAUAAACUUGGCUUCAUGAAAAAUUCACAACGUUCUUUUCAAAAGGUUUGUUUUUGUCCUUUUCUUGCUGACUGGUGAAAAAAAAUGUUAUCACAAAUGAGCACUGAUCUUUGGGCUGGCAUUUGAGAGCCACUAAUAGAAUUAAACCCCCUUUGCCAGAGAUUUCUUUGCUUCCAACUCCAUACCCUCUCUCCACCAUCUCCCCGCCCCCCUACUCUUUUCCAGGGAGCUGGUCUCUCUGGACUUGUCCUCAAGACUCUCCUGCCCUCUGGCUUCUCAUUGGGUUCAGCCCCAAGGAAGA